rnacentral:rRNA from 1 species
UCGAGGAUCUUCGGCAAUGAGCGCAAGCUUGACCGAGCGACGCCGCGUGAGCGAUGAAGGCCUUCGGGUUGUAAAGCUCUUUAGUGGGGGAGAAAAGCCCGCAAGGGUGUGAUCUAUCCCAAAAAUAAGCACGGGCUAAGUUCGUGCCAGCAGCCGCGGUAAGACGAACCGUGCGAACGUUGUUCGGAAUCACUGGGCUUAAAGGGCGCGUAGGCGGGCUGACAAGUCUGGGGUGAAAUCCCGCGGCUCAACCGUGGAACUGCCUUAGAUACUGUCGGCCUCGAGGAAGGUAGGGGCAUGCGGAACUGUAGGUGGAGCGGUGAAAUGCGUUGAUAUCUACAGGAACUCCGGUGGCGAAAGCGGCGUGCUGGACCUUUUCUGACGCUGAGGCGCGAAAGCUAGGGGAGCAAACGG